rnacentral:rRNA from 1 species
ACUCAGGUAGUUGGCGGGGUAACGGCCCACCAAGGCGACGACGGGUAGCUGGUCUGAGAGGACGACCAGCCACACUGGAACUGAGACACGGUCCAGACACCUACGGGUGGCAGCAGUCGAGAAUCUUUCACAAUGGGGGGCAACCCUGAUGGAGCGACGCCGCGUGGAGGAUAAGGUCUUCGGAUUGUAAACUCCUGUCAUGUGUGAACAAGGUUGCAGGGCUAACACCUUUGCAAAUUGAUGGUAACACAAGAGGAAGAGACGGCUAACUCUGUGCCAGCAGCCGCGGUAAUACAGAGGUCUCAAGCGUUGUUCGGAAUCACUGGGCGUAAAGGGUGCGUAGGUGGCGUGGUAAGUCAGAUGUGAAAGCCCGGGGGCUCAACCUCGGAAUUGCAUCCGAUACUGCCAUGCUCGAGUACUGAAGAGGUGACUAGAAUUCUAGUGUAGCAGUGAAAUGCGUAGAUAUCUAGAGGAAUUACCGAAAGGCGAAGGCAGGUCACU